rnacentral:rRNA from 1 species
AGAGUUUGAUCCUGGCUCAGAACGAACGUUGGCGGCGUAGUUAAGGCAUGCAAGUCGCACGAGAAGACCGUGCUUCGGUACGGUUUGUAAAGUGGCGUAAGGGUGAGGAUAGCAUGGAUAACCUGCCCGCAGCAGGGGGACAACCUCGCGAAAGCGGGGCUAAUACCGCGUAAUACCACGAGGUGGCAUCAUCUUGAGGUCAAAGGUGGGGAUCCUUCGGGACCUGCCGGCUGCGGAGGGGUUCAUGCCCUAUCAGCUAGUUGGUGAGGUAACGGCUCACCAAGGCUGUGACGGGUAGCCGGCCUUAGAGGGUGGUCGGCCACAUCGGGACUGAGAUACUGCCCGGACUCCUACGGGAGGCUGCAGUUUGGAAUAUUUCGCAAUGGGCGAAAGCCUGACGAAGUGACGCCGCGUGGAGGAUGAAGGCCUUCGGGUUGUAAACUCCUUUUGGCCGUUAGGAAAGUCGGGUGCGUUAAUACCGCAUCCGACUGACAAAGGCGGCAGAAUAAGCACCGGCUAACUCUGUGCCAGCAGCCGCGGUAAUACAGAGGGUGCAAACGUUGUUCGGUGUCAUUGGGCUUGAAGGGUGCGUAGGCGGCCGCGCAAGUCAGGUGUGAAAUCCCUCGGCUUAGCUGAGGAACUGCGCUUGAUACUGCGUGGCUUGAGGGCCAAAGGGGAGAGCGGAACUCCAGGUGUAGCGGUAAAAUGCGUAGAUAUCUGGGGGAACGCCGAUGGCGAAGGCAGCUCUCUGGGUGGCUCCUGACGCUGAGGGCACGAAAGCUGGGGGAGCAAACAGGAUUAGAUACCCUGGUAGUCCCAGCCCUAAACGAUGGGCGCUACGUAGAUGCCGGGCCAAACCGGUAUCUGCCGGAGCGAAAGCGUUAAGCGCCCCGCCUGGGGAGUACGGCCGCAAGGCUGAAACUCAAA